rnacentral:rRNA from 1 species
GGCUCCAGCUUGCUGGGGUACACGAGUGGCGAACGGGUGAGUAACACGUGGGUGACCUGCCCUGCACUUCGGGAUAAGCCUGGGAAACUGGGUCUAAUACCGGAUAGGACCGCACCGUGAGGGUGUGGUGGAAAGUUUUUUCGGUGUGGGAUGGGCCCGCGGCCUAUCAGCUUGUUGGUGGGGUAAUGGCCUACCAAGGCGGCGACGGGUAGCCGGCCUGAGAGGGUGGACGGCCACAUUGGGACUGAGACACGGCCCAGACUCCUACGGGAGGCAGCAGUGGGGAAUAUUGCACAAUGGGCGGAAGCCUGAUGCAGCGACGCCGCGUGGGGGAUGACGGCCUUUCGGGUUGUAAACUCCUUUCACCAUCGACGAAGGGUUUCUGACGGUAGAUGGAGAAGAAGCACCGGCUAACUACGUGCCAGCAGCCGCGGUAAUACGUAGGGUGCGAGCGUUGUCCGGAAUUACUGGGCGUAAAGAGCUCGUAGGUGGUUUGUCGCGUCGUCUGUGAAAUUCCGGGGCUUAACUCCGGGCGUGCAGGCGAUACGGGCAUAACUUGAGUACUGUAGGGGAGACUGGAAUUCCUGGUGUAGCGGUGAAAUGCGCAGAUAUCAGGAGGAACACCGGUGGCGAAGGCGGGUCUCUGGGCAGUAACUGACGCUGAGGAGCGAAAGCAUGGGGAGCGAACAGGAUUAGAUACCCUGGUAGUCCAUGCCGUAAACGGUGGGCGCUAGGUGUGGGUUUCCUUCCACGGGAUCCGUGCCGUAGCUAACGCAUUAAGCGCCCCGCCUGGGGAGUACGGCCGCAAGGCUAAAACUCAAAGGAAUUGACGGGGGCCCGCACAAGCGGCGGAGCAUGUGGAUUAAUUCGAUGCAACGCGAAGAACCUUACCUGGGCUUGACAUAUACAGGAUCGCGCCAGAGAUGGUGUUUCCCUUGUGGCUUGUAUACAGGUGGUGCAUGGUUGUCGUCAGCUCGUGUCGUGAGAUGUUGGGUUAAGUCCCGCAACGAGCGCAACCCUUGUCUUAUGUUGCCAGCACGUUGUGGUGGGGACUCGUAAGAAACUGCCGGGGUUAACUCGGAGGAAGGUGGGGAUGACGUCAAAUCAUCAUGCCCCUUAUGUCCAGGGCUUCACACAUGCUACAAUGGUCGGUACAGUGGGUUGCCAGUCCGUGAGGGCGAGCUAAUCCCGCAAAGCCGGUCUCAGUUCGGAUCGGGGUCUGCAACUCGACCCCCGUGAAGUCGGA